GCCUACGACCAUAUCACCCUGAAUGCGCCCGAUCUCGUCUGAUCUCGGAAGCUAAGCAUGGUCGAGCCUGGUUAAUACUUGGAUGGCAGACUGCCUGGGAAUACCAGGUGUUGUAGGCU
ensembl:rRNA 5S_rRNA 5S ribosomal RNA